GACGAACGCUGGCGGCGUGCUUAACACAUGCAAGUCGAACGAUGAAGCCCAGCUUGCGGGGUGGGAGAGUGGGGAACGGGGGAGUAACACGUGAGUGACCUGCCCUGAACUCUGGGAUAAACACUGGAAACGGUGGCUAAUACAGGGGACGACCGAUCACCGCAUGGGGUGGGGGUGGGAAGGUUUAGGGGUUCGGGAUGGAACCGCGGCCUAUCAGCUAGAUGGUGGGGUAAUGGCUCACCAAGGCCACGACGGGUAGCCGGCCUGAGAGGGUGACCGGCCACACUGGGACUGAGACACGGCCCAGACUCCUACGGGAGGCAGCAGUGGGGAAUAUUGCACAAUGGGCGCAAGCCUGAUGCAGCAACGCCGCGUGAGGGAUGACGGCCUUCGGGUUGUAAACCUCUUUUAGUAGGGAAGAAGCGAGAGUGACGGUACCUGCAGAAAAAGCACCGGCUAACUACGUG
rnacentral:rRNA from 1 species